rnacentral:rRNA from 1 species
GCAGUAGCCGCGGUAAAACGUAGGUGGCAAGCGUUGUCCGGAAUUAUUGGGCGUAAAGGGCUCGCAGGCGGUUUCUUAAGUCUGAUGUGAAAGCCCCCGGCUCAACCGGGGAGGGUCAUUGGAAACUGGGAAACUUGAGUGCAGAAGAGGAGAGUGGAAUUCCACGUGUAGCGGUGAAAUGCGUAGAGAUGUGGAGGAACACCAGUGGCGAAGGCGACUCUCUGGUCUGUAACUGACGCUGAGGAGCGAAAGCGUGGGGAGCGAACAGGAUUAGAUACCCCGGUAGUCCCUGUCUCUUAUAC